GACCGAUGCGUAACACAUGCGAAUGCGCGGGGACCAAGUCUGGAAAUAACCCAGACCCCCAAAACGCAACGCUGGCGUCCGGAUCAAAGUGCAAAUGCACGCAAAAUUAUAGGGCAAAUUUUUAAAAAAAGAAAUACAAAUAUAGGCCGAUUUGAAUUCCGCAUGAAAGAAGAAGGACCUCUAUUGGAAAUAUCCCCUCACCGCAAAAAAUGCGCGGAUCCCAGGGGGGAAGAGCCAGAUCGGGUCGGGUAUGCUGAAACGAUGUCGUUUCAAGGCUACCAAUGCAUGCCUUAAACUACACCGUUUCAUGUCAUCAAUUAAUAAAGAGAAAAAAAAAAAGAAAAAAAACCUAAGACCUAAACAUUUCAGCAGGCCGAAAAGGGGAAAAUGAAAGGGAGAAGAGGGAGAGAGGGAAACGAUGGCCACAACGCUUCGGUCUUAGCCGACUUCGGCGUUCGACGCCUCCGCCUCCGCCUCCGCCAUGGCACCCGUCUAAAAUCUCUCAAAACGCAGGAAAGUUCUCUCCUCCUUUAUUUUGCUUUUGCUCCUUUUUUCGUGUAAAAUAAUGAAGAAAUCGAUUGAAAUGAGUAAAAGGAACAGAGGAUUGAAAAGAUAAGGAAAAUCACCUUCUCUGUUUUUUUCGAUUGAUUGCUAUUAUCUCUGUGUUCGUAUUGCCUAUUGCGUGUAUUCGUGUAACCCUUUACAAAGACUAAAAUUUUGGCUUUAUAGCCGAAAAUGGUAGAAAUAAAUAAAUAAAAAUACAAAAUUCUUUCUUUGCUUUCGCAUUGGGUAUGUGCUGCUGUUGUUUUGUCGCUUGUUUUCUUUAACAGGUACAGGCGUGUUGGCGCUCGGGUACGGGUCUGGGCUAGCGUACGGAGGCACGUGUGCGUGGCUACUGGAGGGUAUGAAGGCCAAGGCCGAGGCUUGGCUGCGGCGCGAGAGAGAGAGCCCUAAGGUUCUAUCUGUUCUAAAAUUUUUUGGGCCAUUUGGGCCGGUGUAAUUUUGGGGUUGGGUCUAGGUUUAGUUAUUGGGUCUAGAUUUAGCUAUUUGGGUCUUGGGUUUUAAUAUUAGUUUGGGCUUGUAAUAGGUAUUAGCUUGUAAGAGGACAUUAAAUGGACUGUUUUGUUUAUUUUUUUGUAUUUUGGUUUCUUCUUCGGGCCCGAGCAAAUUGGCCUAUUUACAGUCAGUCUUUGUUAAUAUCUAGCAUUGGCUAAAGUACAUUGCUUACAAAUAAUAGACCUCUCUAUAUGAAAAUUUUUGAUGUAUGUGCAUGGAAUAACAAAGAACUUGAUGUAUGUGUCACAGUUCUCAAAGGAUAAUAAGGUGUAUUUCAAGUUUUAUACUACAAAAUACUUUGUUAAGGAUGCAAGCUCUCAUUAGAUGUUGUUGCAAGAAGUAAGCAAGAUGGUCUGUACAAACUAGAGGUUGUUAAUACUAGUGAA
rnacentral:lncRNA from 1 species